rnacentral:rRNA from 1 species
GUGAGGAAUAUUGGACAAUGGGCGCAAGCCUGAUCCAGCCAUGCCGCGUGCAGGAAGACGCAUCUAGGGUGUGUAAACUGCUUUUGUACGGGAAGAAACACUCCCUCGUGAGGGAGCUUGACGGUACCGUAAGAAUAAGGAUCGGCUAACUCCGUGCCAGCAGCCGCGGUAAUACGGAGGAUCCAAGCGUUAUCCGGAAUCAUUGGGUUUAAAGGGUCCGUAGGCGGUUUAAUAAGUCAGUGGUGAAAGCCCAUCGCUCAACGAUGGAACGGCCAUUGAUACUGUUAGACUUGAAUUACAAGGAAGUAACUAGAAUAUGUAGUGUAGCAGUGAAAUGCUUAGAUAUUACAUGGAAUACCAAUUGCGAAGGCAGGUUACUACUAGUGGAUUGAAGCUGAUGGACGAAAGCGUGGGGAGCGAACAGGAUUAGAAACCCCAGUAGUCC